AUUGAACGCUGGCGGCAUGCCUUACACAUGCAAGUCGAACGGCAGCACGGGGCAACCUGGUGGCGAGUGGCGAACGGGUGAGUAAUGCAUCGGAACGUACCUUUCAGUGGGGGAUAACGUAGCGAAAGUUACGCUAAUACCGCAUAUUCUGUGAGCAGGAAAGCAGGGGAUCGCAAGACCUUGCGCUGAUCGAGCGGCCGAUGUCUGAUUAGCUAGUUGGUGAGGUAAAGGCUCACCAAGGCGACGAUCUGUAGCGGGUCUGAGAGGUUGAUCCGCCACACUGGAACUGAGACACGGUCCAGACUCCUACGGGAGGCAGCAGUGGGGAAUUUUGGACAAUGGGGGCAACCCUGAUCCAGCCAUGCCGCGUGAGUGAAGAAGGCCUUCGGGUUGUAAAGCUCUUUCGGCCGGGAAGAAAUCGCACGGGCUAAUACCCUGUGUGGAUGACGGUACCGGAAUAAGAAGCACCGGCUAACUACGUGCCAGCCGCCGCAGUAA
rnacentral:rRNA from 1 species